AAGGAGAAAAGCGGAGGCCGCCCGCCUAUCGGCGAGGUGCGCUGGAGGGCCUGCGAGCGGGCUUAGCCCGCCGCAGCAGGACCGAAGCGUCGCGAGCCGAUGGCGGCCGGAGCUAGACAUUACGAAAAGCGGAGGCGCCGAGAUCGGCUCUCGAAGCCAAAUGUUCUUCACCCGCAGGGGUGCUUGCACCCCCGAGGGGGAAGGUUAUUUGGCAGAAGAGAACCAGGCGCCGGAGCUAGACAGAAUUUCUUGACAAAACCUAUCAGUUUGAUUAUAAUGACGCUUGCUGUUUUGUUUGGUUUUGAGGGAAUUGGUUAUUCUCUCGGUUGUUUUGCGCCUGCGUCUGCGAGUGAUUCAGCGGAGCUGGAUUCCUCGGCGCAAGGCCGCAAAGAAGCUGACUCAAGGCAGCAGCCUUGUUUCGUUUUGAGGGAACUGACCGUUCCUUGCAAUGUGUAUAUGGGCCUAUAGCUCAGCUGGUCAGAGCGCACGCCUGAUAAGCGUGAGGUCGGUGGUUCAAGUCCACUUAGGCCCAUUGGAUGGGGCCUUAGCUCAGCUGGGAGAGCGCCUGCUUUGCAAGCAGGAGGUCAUCGGUUCGAUCCCGAUAGGCUCCACCAUAUCAAGGUAAGAGGUUUCAACGUAGUUGCUUUGCGUCUGCGUCUACAAGCGGAUUCGGAGAAGCUGAAUUUCUCGACGCAAACCAGCGAAGAAGCGAAUUCAAAGGAGCUACUUUGCGCCUUCGUCUUCCAGCAGGUUCAAGGAAGAUGGAUUCCUCGGCGCAAAGUUGCAAAGAAGCAGACUCAAGGCAGCAGCUUCGUUCCUUGAAAACUAGAUAACCGAUAAAGCAAAGGAAGAAGCCGAGAGCGCAAUA
rnacentral:tRNA from 1 species